UGCGGAGGGUGCAAGCGUUGUCCGGAAUCACUGGGCGUAAAGGGCGCGUAGGCGGCUCAUGAAGGCUGUGGUGAAAGUCCGGGGCUCAACCUCGGAUCGGCCGUGGCGACUCGUGGGCUGGAGCACUGUAGAGGCGGGUGGAAUUCCGGGUGUAGCGGUGGAAUGCGUAGAGAUCCGAAAGAACACCAACGGCGAAAGCACUCUGCUGGGCCGACACUGACACUGAGAGACGAAAGCUAGGGGAGCGAAUGGG
rnacentral:rRNA from 1 species